rnacentral:rRNA from 1 species
UAUGUGAUCGUCUCUCGCAUAUCAAUAAGCGGAGGAAAAGAAACUAACAAGGAUUCCCUUAGUAACGGCGAGUGAAGCGGGAAGAGCUCAAAUUUGAAAUCUUCAAGGUUUUACCUUGACGAAUUGUAGUUUAAAGAAGUGUUUUCUGUUGAAGUUUUGGUAAAAGUUCUUUGGAAUAGGACAUCAUAGAGGGUGAGAAUCCCGUAUUUGACCAUUAUUUUCAGCUGUGUGAUACACUUUCAAAGAGUCGGAUUGUUUGGGAAUGCAGUCCAAAAUGGGUGGUAAAUUUCAUCUAAAGCUAAAUAUUGGCGAGAGACCGAUAGCGAACAAGUACCGUGAGGGAAAGAUGAAAAGAACUUUGAAAAGAGAGUUAAACAGUACGUGAAAUUGUCAAAAGGGAAGCGUUUGACACCAGUGUUGUUUUCUCGAAAAUCAAUUAAUAAGAGUUAGAUUUUGUUGUGUAUUGACCUUAACAGCUUGCAUUUCAAUUUUCUUGCUUUUUUUAAUGCACUUUUCGUUUAACAAGUCAACAUCAGUUUCUUUUGUUGUAAAAAGGUCAUUGGAAGGUGGCUUUCUUUUCGGAGAAAGUGUUUAUAGCCUUUGACUCCUGCAAUCGGAGAGACUGAGGUCUGCAGCGUAGAUCCUUCGGGGUUAGAUACAUUUGUGCUAAGUUAUAGCUUUUUAUAGACAACUUGUUGACUAUGAUUAGUCUUGUAGCUUACUCGCUUAUGCUAUUUUACCUACGCUUAGGAUGUUGAAGAUGUAGCACAUCAU